GACGAACGCUGGCGGCGUGCUUAACACAUGCAAGUCGAACGGAAAGGCCCUGCUUUUGUGGGGUGCUCGAGUGGCGAACGGGUGAGUAACACGGGAGUAACCUGCCCUUGACUUUGGGAUAACUUCAGGAAACUGGGGCUAAUACCGGAUAGGAGCUCCUGCGGCAUGGGGGGGGUUGGAAAGUUUCGGCGGUUGGGGAUGGACUCGCGGCUUAUCAGCUUGUUGGUGGGGUAGUGGCUUACCAAGGCUUGGACGGGUAGCCGGCCUGAGAGGGUGACCGGCCACAUUGGGACUGAGAUACGGCCCAGACUCCUACGGGAGGCAGCAGUGGGGAAUAUUGCACAAUGGGCGGAAGCCUGAUGCAGCAACGCCGCGUGCGGGAUGACGGCCUUCGGGUUGUAAACCGCUUUCGCCUGUGACGAAGCGUGAGUGACGGUAAUGGGUAAAGAAGCACCGGCUAACUACGUG
rnacentral:rRNA from 1 species